UACGUAGGGGGCAAGCGUUGUCCGGAAUCAUUGGGCGUAAAGAGCGUGUAGGCGGCUCGGUAAGUCCGCUGUGAAAGUCCAGGGCUCAACCCUGGAAUGCCGGUGGAAACUGUCGAGCUAGAGUCCGGGAGAGGCGAGUGGAAUUCCUGGUGUAGCGGUGAAAUGCGCAGAUAUCAGGAGGAACACCAAUGGCGAAGGCAGCUCGCUGGGACGGUACUGACGCUGAGACGCGAAAGCGUGGGGAGCAAACAGG
rnacentral:rRNA from 1 species